AAAUCCUAACCUCCACUGUGAUAGUGUUAGGAGGUGGGGCCUUUGGGAGGUGAUUUGGUCAUGAGGGUGAACCCUCAUGAGUGGGAUUAGAGACCUUAUAAAAGGGACCCCAGAGAAAACAGAAGUCUGCAAACCAGAAGAGGGUCCUCGUUGGAACCCAACCAGGCUAACAUCCUCAUCUCAGACUUCAGCCUCCAGAGCCGUGAGAAAUAAAUUAUUCUAUUAUAGCAGCCCAAAUGGACUAAGACACUAGUCUGUAGAAAUUCAACUGACUUUUGUGUAAUGAUCUUGUAUCCUGUAAUCUUGCUGAACGUAUUUAUUAGUUCUGAUAGUUUUUCUUUUUUGUGGGGUCCUUAGGAUGUCCUAUAUGCAAGAUCAUGUCAUCUGCAGCUGGAGAUCAUUUCGCUUCUUACUUUCCAGUCUAGAUGCCAUGAUCCCCGACUCUUCUCCUGUCUUUUAUUCUUCUCACACAUAGGCUUUAGGCUAAUCUUCCUAGUGUUCUGCUUUCAACUUGGAGUAGAAGUUGGAGACCUAUGUUCCAAGCCCAGUUUGGCUGCUGAUCCAUUCCUGUUUCUUCAGGUCUUGAAGUCGUUUUCUUUCUGGAUUUCUGGCUGCAAUCCAGUGACACCUGACGGGGGUGGCGAGGGGGAUCCUGAUAGCUGAUUGGCCGCGGCAAGGAUCCUGAAGGAGGCCGCGGUCUGCCAGUGCACCCAGGCCCCAGCUGUGACUCAGCCGCCGCUCUCCAGCACCGGGAGAGGGAACUCUCCGCCCGCCCGCGGACCCACCCCCGGCGCGAGCCGUGACGUCUCCCGGAAUUCACAGCUGCCCUCUCUCCCCGCUGGGCUCCCCCCAUCGGCACGCAGGAGGCUCUUCUGUCGCAGGCGGGAGCUGAGAGCAAACUGCCGGGGUCGUGCACGACUCCCCGGGGCUUCCCGCAGAAGCUGAUUGGCAAGGGGGGGUGGGGUGGGGUUCCGGCAGCCGUUGGUAACCCCCGCCCUGUCCCCUCCGCCUCCGCCCCAGUAAGAGAGGGCUGUAAAAUUCCGGAAGAGAGAUUAGAGGCAGGGGAUGGGUGGGGCAGUGAAUCAGUACAUUCCUUUCUCCCCCUGCCUCCUCCUGCCCUGUUAUCACUUUGGGUGGGUUGGGUCCUCUUAUGGCCUUCUCCUGACCGGUCCACUGGCAGGGUCCAGACAAGCUAAGCAGUGCUGGGCGGGAACCUCCCAAACUCAGCUGAACUUUGUAGAGCCUGGAUCACUUACUUUGCAGUUCAUGACCCCAUUUGGUUUCGGGUUGGGGAAUUUUGGUCCUUGCUUCCAACUGGGUCCCUUCCACAAGAGUAGUUCUUAGGCCUGUCUGUGCAUUUGUUAGUAGCUCCCAUUAAUUGAGCAAGCUCUUGCUCCGAGGCAAGGUCUGUGCUAGGUCAAUCAGUCUUAUGUUCCUAAAACUUUGCAAGGUAGGCAUACCUUCUCUCCUGUUAGAAGCCAGGACUCUGAAAGCUCAGAGAGGUUAGGUAACUUGCUCAAGGUCACACAGUGGCAAAGCCAGGAGUAGUCCCAGCUCUAUUAGUUCCAUAAAUUUUCCACCACACUCCGUGGCUUCCUUUAGCACACUGAAAGGCAACACUUAUUAGGGGGUGGCGAAGUAACAUCUAUGGACCACUUCCCACUGUGCUAGGUACUUUAAAUAUAUUGUCUUUAAUCAUUUACUUUUUUCACAACAACCCCCUGAGAGAGAUACGAUCACCAUGCCCAUAUUACACAGGAGGAAACUUUCGUUAGGAAUUUCAGGGGCAGAGCUGGGAUUCCUGUACAGUCAUAGUACAAAGCCGCAGUUAAUGUUUGUAUAGUGCUUGACAGUUUCCAAAGCCCUUUCAAGAUCUUCAUUUCAGUCUAUCCCAUUUCACAGAUGAGGAUGAAGUUUCCUUCAUGAAGUUAAGCCAUCUGGCCAAGGUCACAAACCUAAUAGUAAGUAGCAGAGCCUGCAAUUUUGAAAUAAACUCUAUAAAGCCAGUAGUAGCAAAGCUCGUUCCAUUUAGUCAUUCCACAGUGCCAAGUACCAUUCUAAUAGUUGUAAUAAUAGCUAACACUUAUUGAACACUUACUGUCUGUCCACUGUGGUGCUACCUGUUAUAUACACUAACUCCUGUAAUGCUCAAAACUACCUUAGGAGGUGGGUACUGUUAGCUUUUCCUUACAGAUGGGGAAAUUGAGACUAGAUGAAGUAACUUCCCAGAGUUAACAGCAACUAAGUGGCCAUGCAAGGAUGCCAGAUGAAACAGUCUAGAGUCCCAGGGUAGGAAGAAGGCAUCUGGGUUGUGUCCCUACCUUUGUCUAAAACCACUUCUCCAAGGGUUUUUGUUUCUUUGCCACACCCCCAUUACUCCUUUCUAACCUGUGUGUGUGGCAGGCCCACAUAGCUCCCGCUCUCAAGGAGCUAACGCUCUAUAAAAUCAGUCAAGAAUACCACCAGCUUUGCCUCACAGGGGCGCUGGGCAGAUUAAUAAGCUAAUGGCACUUGGAAUGCUUCAGCAAAGGCACUGGAUAAACUCAGGGCACUUAUUAUGUGUGAAACUCACUGCCAAGGGUGGUUCACGCUGUAAUAAGGCGCCUGCAGCCCCUUUCCCGAUCUCUUUGAGGUGUGCAGCCUUACUUGGGAAACUGUGUGGAUGAGGUCACUCACGUCAGAGGUGAGAGCAUUUCCCUGCUGUCCGCAGGGUGUGGGGAGUUGGUGGCAUUGCCGUGGUCUCAGGCCUUUUGCUCUCAGUGGGGGGUGUUUCCAACAUCUCGGAAGGGUUUCCAGCUUACGCUAAGGGACACCAGUUAUUGACUGGAGUCAGACACUAACAUCACACUUACUUGGGCUUCGGAGGCAGACACUUGGGCUGAAUCCUGCUUCUGUCAUUUCAUCUCUCUGAGCCUCUGAUCCCUUUUAAAAUGAGGAUAAUAAUAUCUUCCUCACAGGGUUAUUCUGAAGCAUAAACUUGAUCAUAUAUUUAAAGACACCUUCCCAGGGCUUGGAAAUAGAGUAGAUGCUUAAUAGGUGGUAGCUAUUAUCAUAGCUGUUAUCAUUAUCCUUAUGUUAUUAUAUUAUUUACUGACAUUUUAGGGCCAGGCUGAGAGCUAGAUGGAGGGAAGAGUCAUUCAUUUGUUCAACAAUGC
ensembl:lncRNA